rnacentral:rRNA from 1 species
AAUCAACGCUGGCAGCGUGCCUCAGACAUGCAAGUCGAACGAUUAAAGCUCUCUUCGGAGAGUGUAUAGAGUGGCGCACGGGUGAGUAACACGUAAGUAAUCUACCUUUGAGUGGGGAAUAACGUCCGGAAACGGACGCUAAUACCGCAUAAUGCAGCGGCAUCGCAAGAUGACAGUUGUUAAAGAUUUAUCGCUUGAAGAGGAGCUUGCGGCAGAUUAGCUUGUUGGUAAGGUAAUGGCUUACCAAGGCUACGAUCUGUGACCGGUCUAAGAGGACGGUCGGUCACACUGACACUGAAUAACGGGUCAGACUCCUACGGGAGGCAGCAGUCGGGAAUUUUGGGCAAUGGGCGAAAGCCUGACCCAGCAACGCCGCGUGAAGGAUGAAGUAUUUCGGUAUGUAAACUUCGAAAGAAUGGGAAGAAUAAAUGACGGUACCAUUUAUAAGGUCCGGCUAACUACGUGCCAGCAGCCGCCGUAACAC